GACGAACGCUGGCGGCGUGCUUAACACAUGCAAGUCGAACGCUGAAGCUCAGCUUUUGUUGGGUGGAUGAGUGGCGAACGGGUGAGUAACACGUGAGUAACCUGCCCCCUUCUUUGGGAUAACGCCCGGAAACGGGUGCUAAUACUGGAUAUUCACUGGUCUUCGCAUGGGGGUUGGUGGAAAGGGUUUUUCUGGUGGGGGAUGGGCUCGCGGCCUAUCAGCUUGUUGGUGGGGUGAUGGCCUACCAAGGCUUUGACGGGUAGCCGGCCUGAGAGGGUGACCGGUCACAUUGGGACUGAGAUACGGCCCAGACUCCUACGGGAGGCGGCAGUGGGGAAUAUUGCACAAUGGGCGCAAGCCUGAUGCAGCGACGCCGCGUGAGGGAUGGAGGCCUUCGGGUUGUGAACCUCUUUCGCUCAUGGUCAAGCCGCAACAAUGGUUGUGGUGAGGGUAGUGGGUAAAGAAGCGCCGGCUAACUACGUG
rnacentral:rRNA from 1 species